AUAUGAAUCCCCUGGGGAUCUUAUUAAAAUGCAGAUUCUGAUUCAGUAGGUUUGAGGUAGAGCCUGAGAUUCUGCAUUUCCAACAAGUUUCCAGGUGACACCAAU
rnacentral:pre_miRNA from 2 species